rnacentral:lncRNA from 1 species
AUGUCUCCUACAAUUAAUGCGCUGAUGGGAGACGGCCUUUGGAGGUUUUGCUGAUUCAAAAAUUAUUUAAUGCCCUAGAUAAGAUCAUGCGUAGGCUCUGUAAUGUUUCAGAUUGUUCUUCUCCUUUUUUGGCAUAGGUGUUUCUUUCUUCCACCAUCCUCUGUGUUUUGAGAGAAAUGACCUUCAGAGAUUCUGCCUUCGCACCAUUAGGAUUUCGAUCCAAGCUAUCUAAGAGGGCAUAGUAGCACUUCAUAGAUAGUACCAAAUCUCUUUGGAGUUUCAGUUAAAAGUUUCGGAUCUAGACGACCGAGUUUGCCAACCACC